GUAUCCAAAGGAACUUCAAUUUAUUGAUCAUAUCCCAUAAUAUUCAACUAUAAAUGUUAAGAUAUACAUUAAUCGAAGUUCCCUCAGAAAUUUCAACCUCAAACUGUUUUAAGGUGAAUCAUGUCUACUUGUCCCCUCGAUCAGACGAAAACCUAUCAAUGCUUGGCUGAGCUCUUUCAAAUUUAAUUAGUUUAGGAAACUAACCAAAGAAGUUAUCCAGUCAAUUUGAGCUGCCUUUAUUAUACAUGCUAAACAGCGUAACAACAGCAAAUAAGAUUAGUUCAUGGGAAGUAGAAAAUGCAGCGCGUACUCCAGCUUGGAGUCCUUUUCAUGGUGGACCUGAAAGAAAGAAUAACAGAAGUAACCCGUUGUACAACAAACCUGCUCGAUAGUGAUGUAUCUAUCAAUGGAAAUUAUCCGGAUCAAGAGAGGCGUAACUACUUGGAUUGCAACAAGAUGAAAAAAGGGAUAGUGUUGCAAGCAUUGAAAAUGUCAACAUGUUAAUCACCAAAAAGCCAUUCUUGAGAGAUUUUUGUAGGCAGCAGAUAAACUGGACGUUUGAUUGCAAUAAUGGAUCACUGUUUCAAGUGCUUAUAGUGGUGGCAUAAGAUUGCAGCAAGGUUAGUGCUUGCUCGGUUAUAGCUCUGUUCCUAGCACGCUUUACCCAAUCAUCAACAAUUUCUGCUGCGUGAGUGUCCUUUAAACCCUUCUCAAGGGCAUCAGCAGCUUCUGAUAAUUUUCCCUGAGCCAAGAAACUCUCAACUUUAUUUAUGAGGGAUUCAAUUCCAUCACCAGACUGGCCAGCCUCCCUAACCUUUAACCAGGAUGCAACACUAGCCAAAGAAUGUGUCAAUAUCCCACCACCACCUGGAGGAAUCAGGCUAAAGUGCCGAAGUGUCCCCUUUAAUGUAUCGAACUUGUGAUUCAGUUGUAACACAGUAUCUGAACCAUAUCUCUGUGUUUCUUCUGGAAGAGAAGAUAGAACCACAUCCAGCAAUGAGUUGUUAUCUAUCCCUUCAAGAGAAGUGUGAAGAUUUUCUAGUUCUUUUUGAAUUGGUAACCCUCUGGACAGUGCAUCUUCCAGAGCAAGCACACCCAGAGCAAGCUUGUGAACAGAAUGAGUCUGGCGAACCUCUUCAGAUCGUGCAUAAAAUGCCAUGCACAGAGCAUUUAUAUGGAGAUUGGCUUCAGCCAUUUUUUCAAUUUGAGAUGCUUUCUCACUUGCGAUAGCUGCAUCCAAUUGUGCUUUACCCAACUCCUGGGCUUUCUUUAACUUCAGUUCUGCUUCAUCUUCCUUUUCCUCAAGCUCCGUCUUGUGUUCUUCUUCUAAUUUUUCUUUAAGUGAUUUCAAAGCUGCGAUGGCUUUUGCUCUUUCUUUUUUCAGUUCCUUAUCCAGUAAGGCCUCUCGUUCAGCAUACAUAAGUUCCCUGGCCCUGGCAUCCUUCAGCUCCUUUUCAUAUCUCUCCUUCAUAUAUUUCUUUUCUUCAGCAAAUAAGCGAGCAUCUAGUUCUGCUUGUCUACUCUCAGUUUCAUGAAUAACCUGUAAGACAUCAAGCACCAAUUUUCCAUCCUUUGAUAUGUAGGAAUCACCCAGAUCUUCAACAACCAUUUUCUUGUCAGACGAGGUUGUAGGGGUAGCUCCAACCCCAUUUCUUAAGUAGUAUUCAUCAAGAAGGGAACUAGGUUUUUCCUCAUGCUGAGGAGCAUCCUCCAUCUUGGCUUGACUGAUUACAUGCUCUGGAGACAUGACACUAGCCUCAUUUUCCUUCUGAAGUGUAUCAGCCUGUGUUGGAGUUGGAGUGAUUUCUAUUGCCUUAGACUGCACUGCAUCAGUAGAUACUUCUGGGCUCUUCAUGUCCAAAGUGUCCUCAGGUGAUUGAGUAGAAGUAAGUCUUGUUUCAUCAGGUGAAACAUUUUCUUGAUGGGAGCUGGGUGAUAAUUCUUUUACUUCAGUAUAGUUGGCUUCUCCACCAGUAAUUUCUGAUGAAUCGUUUACCUGAAAUUGACUUUCUGAUCCAGUUGCUGUUGGCUCUUCUGAACCAGAGAGAUCUUGUUGAAUUCCAAUGCUCUGGUAAGUUUGCUCCGGACUAUCAGACUCUACAAAUUUAGAACCAGCAUCUGGUCUUCCUAAAGUUUCACUAUCUUGUGAAACUUCACUACUUUCCUUUAGCUCCUUCACACCUUGAAGGCCAGUUUCGUCCCUGGCUAAUUCAGGGCUGGAAUGGGGCUCUUUAAUGAGAUACUUAUCUAAAUAUCCAGUUUGAUAAGCAGCAAAAAAUCCAGCACUUAAAGCAACAGAUCCAAUAAUGAAUCUCGGCAAGAGACUCACUGUUUCUUUGGGCUUCCCCGUUGAACCUGGCCCCCGGGGUGGCCCAUUUUGUUUGGGUGAGACUGAAAACUCUCUUCUGGAAAAAAGAUAGGAAGGUACCUGUGUUAUAACCUCUGCUGGAAUUCUUUUCACUGAUUGACCAGCCGAAAGUCGCAGGAUGGACCUUCGCAACAUGGUGAGAGGAUUGGUUGGCGCCAAAAAAAACUGAUAUUGAGUUGAUUUGUAGCUUGUCUGAGAUGGAGCUCGCGCCAAUGGCGGAGAGUUU
rnacentral:misc_RNA from 1 species